UGGACGAAUUGAUUUAGU
rnacentral:miRNA from 1 species